CAUGCAGGUCGAGGGGCAGCAUUUUAGUUUGCUUGCAAACUAAAGAUGGCGACCGGCGCACGGGCUGAGCUAACACGCUAUCCAACCUGCCGAUAACUCGGGGAUAGCCUUUCGAAAGAAAGAUUAAUAUCCGAUAGUAUAUUAAAACCGCAUGGUUUUACUAUUAAAGAAUUUCGGUUAUCGAUGGGGAUGCGUUCCAUUAGUUUGUUGGCGGGGUAACGGCCCACCAAGACUACGAUGGAUAGGGGUUCUGAGAGGAAGGUCCCCCACAUUGGAACUGAGACACGGUCCAAACUCAUACGGGAGGCAGCAGUGAGGAAUAUUGGUCAAUGGACGAGAGUCUGAACCAGCCAAGUAGCGUGAAGGAUGACUGCCCUAUGGGUUGUAAACUUCUUUUAUAUGGGAAUAAAGUAUUCCACGUGUGGGAUUUUGUAUGUACCAUAUGAAUAAGGAUCGGCUAACUCCGUGCCAGCAGCCGCGGUAAUACGGAGGAUCCGAGCGUUAUCCGGAUUUAUUGGGUUUAAAGGGAGCGUAGGUGGAUUGUUAAGUNCAGUUGUGAAAGUUUGCGGCUCAACCGUAAAAUUGCAGUUGAAACUGGCAGUCUUGAGUACAGUAGAGGUGGGCGGAAUUCGUGGUGUAGCGGUGAAAUGCUUUAGAUAUCACGAAGAACUCCGAUUGCGAAGGCAGCUCACUAGACUGCAACUGACACUGAUGCUCGAAAGUGUGGGUAUCAAACAGGAUUAGAUACCCUGGUAGUCCACACAGUAAACGAUGAAUACUCGCUGUUUGCGAUAUACAGUAAGCGGCCAAGCGAAAGCAUUAAGUAUUCCACCUGGGGGAGUACGCCGGCAACGGUGAAACUCAAAGGGAAAUUGACGGGGGCCCGCACAAAGCGGAAGGAACAUGUGGGUUUAAUUCCGAUGAUACGCGAGGAACCUUACCCGGGCUUAAAUUGCAUUUGAAUAAUCUGGAAACAGGUUAGCCGCAAGGCAAAUGUGAAGGUGCUGCAUGGUUGUCGUCAGCUCGUGCCGUGAGGUGUCGGCUUAAGUGCCAUAACGAGCGCAACCCUUAUCUUUAGUUACUAACAGGUCAUGCUGAGGACUCUAGAGAGACUGCCGUCGUAAGAUGUGAGGAAGGUGGGGAUGACGUCAAAUCAGCACGGCCCUUACGUCCGGGGCUACACACGUGUUACAAUGGGGGGUACAGAAGGCAGCUACCUGGCGACAGGAUGCUAAUCCCAAAAACCUCUCUCAGUUCGGAUCGAAGUCUGCAACCCGACUUCGUGAAGCUGGAUUCGCUAGUAAUCGCGCAUCAGCCAUGGCGCGGUGAAUACGUUCCCGGGCCUUGUACAAACCGCCCGUCAAGCCAUGAAAGCCGGGGGUACCUGAAGUACGAACCGCAAGGAGCUCCUAGG
rnacentral:rRNA from 1 species